AAAUGUAUUGACUUCUUGAAACAAUAUUCCAAUUUCUCUUAUUUGUCAAGCGAAAUUUACAUCAAAUCUAAACAAUGACGAAUUCCAGAUUUCAGCACUUCAUAGGCUUACAAAACAAACGAUUCUGAAUAAAUAAAUACAUCAAAAAGCAAGUAUUGAAUUACCUGGUGAGAAAUGAGCCGCUUAUUGAUUGAUUUAUUGAUUGAUUUAUUUCAACAUACAAUGUAUCGAUAUAACAUGGCAAAUUAUCAGAUACAUACAGCAAACAAUAAACAAAUUUGUAUGAAUAUAAACUGAAAUGUGCCAGGUCACAAAACAUUAUACGCCAAGGAUAACACAGAAAGUAAAGAUAAGCUCAAUGCUCUUAUUUCCAUUGUGGUUCUUAAUAUAUAGUAUUGUAUGACAUAGGAAGAAAACAAAAUUGGAAUAACUGAAAUAUUGAAUUUCAGGUACUCGCCUCCUUCUUCACGGCGUGUUUACAUCUUUUUUGUACGUAAAAGUUCGUUACUUAUACCAAAAAGUGAAGGUACCUCAAGUUUUGUACCAACAAUAUAGAAUUGAUCAUACACCGAGAUAUUGGACCUACUGUAUAUCGUCAGCUAAGUUAAGGUCGUCAGUAGUUUAGUGCGACCCACUAAAGAUGGAGCGUGUCCAAGCUAUGGAAAACAAAUGGUUGAAGACAUACAUCUAUCUGCAUAUGUCUAAGCCCCUUGCUUGGUUCAUGACUAGCAGUUUUCUCAUUCCUGAUGACACUCAAUCGUCAGACUUGGAUUGUCAAGAGGCAACAGACCUGAUUGAAAAUUUCAUAAGAUAUAAUUAUCAUGGUAAUGAUAAGAAUUGAGGUGAUUAUUUAGUUACCUUCAAGUGGUCAGUGGUUAAUUAGGGGUAGCAAGUGAUUGGUUUCUGGAAACACCUUCAGCAAAACACGUAUACCUUCGUGAGCCUGUCAAGACAUUUUGUUAAUGCUAAGUGUAAUAUAUUGAUUGCAGAUUUAAUUAUUAGGAUGAAUGGGGACAACAGUGAAUAAAUGUGUACGUCAUUUAUUUAGUAAGCAUGCUGAACCGAUGUGAAUAUACAUAUCAGUUCGACAGUUAACAGACGCUGUUGGUAUUUUUCGAUUUAAACGAUGAUAAAACGUUCAUACGGCAUGAGAAUAAUCAGUCUAUCGUGUGGUUAGACAAUACUUGUACAACGUGUACCAAGAAACCAUUAUUUAUUGUGCUUACAAGACCUUUCCUCACUGAAAAUACUGUUAAUAACCCAAAACAUCCGUUUUGAAGUCAUUGCGACAUUGUAAAAUGAUCAUCGAACAGAACGAAUGUCUACGGAACACUUGAUUAAGUGUGCUGCCAUCAAAUAUGGAUGAACAAUGACAUUUAAACAGUUCUGUGAAGAAAUAUCUGAGCUCGAACCAUGACAUGACAAAAAUCUUUUGGAAAUAUAUGCAAGUAAAGAGUGAGACACCAAAUUUGUAAAAGACAUAUGAAGCAAAUGAACAGCAAGUUCCGUAAGCUGCAAACAUUUGGAAGAAUUUGUACGAUGUACUGCAUGCAUGGGACAUUGAUGAAUUUAUAUUUCUUGGUCAUUUUUUAGGUCCCCUUUUCGUGAAAACUAUAAAUCUAUUGCUUUAAGCCUUUGUACAUGUCUUUACUAUCAGUUAGGGAGUAAAAAGGACACGAAACAUAACAAUUUUUAUUGCAUAUUGUUAAUUGUCAAUCAAUUACAGACAAGGGUAAGCACCUGGUUCAUAAUAUUUUGGCAUAUCUUAAUAUAUGUCUGGUUAAAUAUUGUCUACAAGAUGUUGAUUAAGCUUAUAAUAGCAUGUCGUUUUGAUAGUUUUAGAUGCUGGCAAAGCAAAAUGCGUUUAGAAAAGAACAUGUCAGAAAUGUAAAUGUUAUAUGUCUUUUACUGAGGUUAGAAACAAUGAAAAAUAUAUCUAUUUUGGACCAAUUGUUGCCCGUUUAGAUUGAUAGGUUUUCAUUGAAAACAGCUGAAACAGAAGGACAAAUAGAAAAUUAUUUCGUUUGUAACAUGUAUUGUAAACUGCAGUAACUUCAAAAAAUAAUCUGUAAUUAAUCACAAUAUUUUGAAGUAACACAUUUAUAUCUUGUGAUUUUGCCUUUAUUUCUUCCGGUGUGUGUCUAAAAGACAAAAUUGGUUUUGUUUUUCUAAUAGUUUUUUCUUGCACAUAAAUGAAAAGUCGCCACCUGUUAAUCAAACUCAUCUAUUUUCCAAUCAGAUAUUGAUUCUUAACAAACCCAUGUGUACCACUUAUUGCCGCCAUUGUCAUUCGACAAGCUGAUUGUCGAGGUUAGUCGAUCUCUACGGAUCUGUCUUUAAAAUCUAAUUAAACUCAAUAUUUUAUUACUAAACAGUUGAAGUGAAGUUAGAGUUGUGCAAGUUUUAUCCCCUUAACCAAAAGGAAGCCUCGAGAAACAUGCAAACUUUGGCCCUUUUUUACAAUAUUUAGCACCUAUGUCUGCUGGAGAUGAAUGCGCUCGAGACCUUAAAAUUUACAUCAAAUUUAAAAGUUAUUAAAAAUGUAGCGCCGUAUUCAGUGUAUUUAUAUCAUAUAAGAAAUGUCAACUUUGAACUCGAAAUAACCUCUUUUUGGUGAAGAAAAAAGUGAAUUAGUGCGAGUAUUUAUAAAGUAAAUGUAAUAAAUAUACAUAGCUGAAGCAUAUAAUCUUUGAAUUCCAACUCAAUUAAGGUGCUGUUUUUGUGAAUGAACAAGUAGUUUUCAGUUAGUAGCGUUAUAUGGCAAAACGAACUGAUUGGGCUGGCAACUUAUGUUUCGUUAGACAUUUAGUGUCUUCUUUUCUAUUAAAGAACUGCUCUAUCUAUACAUGAAGAAAAAGAAGCUUUAAACUUGUAGGCAUUUAAAAACUUUUAUUGAUAAAGUAAAUACUACUCAGAUUUUCAAAUAUAGAUGGUUUGAAAUUAUGAAGAAUUAAAAAAUGUCUUAAUAAUGCAAUCGUUCAGAAUCGCCUUACUGGGCACAGGACCUGUCUGAAUCACAAAAGUUUAAAAAUCAAAUUCCCGCAGUCUCUAUAACCUUCAUAGUGUUAUGUCCGUCACGAAAACUGUCCAUAGAAUUGAUGUACGGCUAAAUAAAAAACUUAUUAGUCACAGUGAAAGAAAUAUUAGUCAACAUCUUAUGGGAAAUCAUAUCAGGAUUAUCGUAUCAGUCAUUUUGCUUUACCAAGGUUUCGCAUUUCCAGACCACGUGAUCUAAACGGCGGUGCGAUUGGACGUUUGUUGACUGGUCAAUUUAUAAUAUCAUAUUUAUAAUCUUGAAAACAUAUAACUGAUGGAACAUACUGUUUUCAACUCAAUAAUUUGUUAUGCUGUAUUAUGUACCAAAUAUUUAGUUAUUCAUGAAACUAUGUUGACAGCUAAAGUUAUUGCAUUUAUAUAUAUAUAUAUAUAUAUAUAUAUAUAUAUUAUAAAUUAAUGUAUUGUAUCAAACAUCUUGUAAAAUGUUGUUUUGUUUGUAGAUGUAAGUAGUUGUAUUACUAUACUAUACUGUUUGAAUAAAAAGAAAACAACAACCAAAGUA
rnacentral:lncRNA from 1 species